AUGAAUAACAAUUCUAUUUUAUUCCUGUUUUACAGAUAAAAAAAACGGGGACUCAGGAGUCCAAAUGACCUGCCUUUAAAAAGUCACUGGUAGCAAAGGGUGAAGCUGCUUUGAGACCAUGUCUUCCUGAUCCAGGUUUUGUAAUCGAUCAACUCAAUCCCUUGAUGCCCACCAAUCCCUACUGGACAUCAAGAGUGAGAGUCACAAGCAGAUGUCUCUCAAAUGGGAACUGGCUGUCACAUAUGUGACACAAAAUGGCAAGUGAUAAUCAAAGCAAUGACUUAGGAAUCCUGACCAAGACAAUCUUUCCAUGGAAAAGGAUCAUUUUUAAGAAAAUAAUAAUAGUGGCUACAAUUUUUAAAAUGAGAAAACUGAGGUUUAGGCUUAUAGGGUUUCCCUCACAAAUAUUCAGCAAACACUCAAGGGAACCUCGCUGGAGAUCUCUGGAACCCUCCUACUGCUCAGCUCCCACCUUUCGGGUAUGCCGUCUUACAGUUCUAGACACAUUGGACCCUACGAUCUCUGUCUGCUCAACUAAGACAGAAUGCUGAAUCCUCCCUGCACUGCAUCCUGGAAAUUAUUUCUAGACAAUAAGCUAUUAUCAUCAUAUAACUCACCUAAUUUGUCAUGUUAGAGAGCUCAGUAAUGCACUUCCAAUUUUCCAGCGUUUGGAAAAAAAAACAUUUUUUUCUGUAUAGUUUGUCCGUUUUUCUUCUCGUGUAAGGUGGAAGAAUAAAUCCAGUUCCAUUUUGCCAUCACAGCUAGAAGCAGAAAUCUGCAUUGGAAGCUUUGGAUCAGAGGAAUGACAUGAUCUGACAUAUAUAUUAACAUGACAGGACUGCUGGGUUAAAAGUUGACUACAGAAGGUAGGAAAUGAUGGCGGCAGGAGUUAGGAGUUUAUUACUAUAAUCCAGUCCAGGAAUGACAGUCACUUGUGGUAAUGGCAGAUAUGAAAAUAAAUGGUUGGAUUAUGGACUUGAAGAAAAAAUAAACAGGAUUUGCUGAUUUUUUUGGAUGUUGAGUAAGAGAGGAAUGGAAAAAUGAGGGGUAAUUCCAAGAAUUUUGGCCCAGUUAACUAGAAGGAUGGGGAGGUCAUUGAAAAGAACAGUUUCAGUAAAGUGUUAAGGAGAAAUUCUGGAAGGAGUGGGUUCAAGAAAGAAUGAGAAGAGAAGUAUUGGACCCAGUGAGGAUGGACAAGUCUCGUGAAGAGUUUGGCAAAUCACAUCUCAUUUCUCAAGAGACUCACAGAGACUCACAUUUCUCAAGAGACUCAAGAGACUCCCAGUCUAACUGGGGAAGGAGGAAGAUGUGUAAGGAGAUGAUUACAUUAAUGGAAGGGAUGUAAUGAUAGAGGUUGAUAUAGCCACAGGUCAAAUGAAGAAGUCUCUAAUAUGGUAGGGGAGUUAAUAGGGAGGAAAGUAUAAAAUGCUUCACACAUGUGUUGAUGUAUGGGCCGCAGGGGGAAGGACCAGGACACUGUGAUCAGAGGGAGGAGGUGGGCAAGGGCAUCCAUAAAAGAGAGAAGAGCAUGGGGGAAGUUCACAGGCGAACCAUCAACCCAUCAACACUUUCAGGAAACGUUGAUUCUCCAUAGCUCAGCCUAAGGCGGGAAUAGGAAUUAGUGAAGAAUGAAGCAGGAGAUAAAGACAGGGAAGAGAACACUUGACAAAGAUCCUUCCUUACCAUGUGUGUUUCUCAGACUUUAAGUAAUGGAAAGCCCUCAGAAGCUCUGGAAAAUAUGACUGGACAGGAGUUGGGCAGGGAAGCCAGUUAAGGGGCCCAGGUGACAGGUAUGGAGCGGAGGAGUGGAUCUUACCACAUAUGAAGUCAAAGACUUGGAACCAACCCAAAUGUCCAUCAAUGAUAGACUGGAUUAAGAAAAUGUGGCACAUAUACACCAUGGAAUACUCUGCAGCCAUAAAAAAGGAUGAGUUCAUGUCCUUUGUAGGGACAUGGAUGAAGCUGGAAACCAUCAGUCUCAGCAAACUAUCGGAAGGACAGAAAACCAAACACUGCAUGUUCUCACUCAUAGGUGGGAAAUGAACAAUGAGAAAACUUGGACACAGGGCAGGGAACAUCACACCCUGGGGUCUGUCAUGGGGUGGGGGAUGGGGAAGGGAUAGCAUUAGGAGAAAUACCUAAUGUAAAUGACGAGUUAACAGGUGCAGCAAACCAACACGGCACAUGUAUACAUAUGUAACAAACCUGCACGUUGUGCACAUGUACCCUAGAACUUAAAGUAAAAUAAUAGUAAUUAAAAAAACAAUAGGUCUUGGUGAGCUGAUGAAUGUGGGAUAGGUUAAGAGGAAAAAAGGGAAGAGCUAAAGAUGACAUUUUAAGUUUUUGGUCUAGCCAUCUUGGUAGAUGAUGGUGUCAUUAGCUAAACUUUGGAAAUGGAAAUGUAUACAAUAAAAUAUUUUAUAGAAAUGUCCAUGGCUUCAAUGAGAUGGCAGCUCCAAGGGCUAGAGGGGCUUUAACCUCCUACCCCCGUGGUCUUCAUCAACUCCAACCCCUCGCCCUGAGCCACAUUAAAAAGUUUAAAAGUUGUGGGAAAAUAUCAUGCUGCCUAUACAAGAUAGCUUUCAUAGCAAUCCUCUAAGUAGAUUGCCUUUGUUCAGCCCCCUGUAUUCAAAUACUACUAAAACUGCAAUAGACUCUAUGUCAAGUCAGAUUCAUCCCAAAGUUUAGGCUUCUCUUCUUUUUUUUUUUUUUUUUUUUUUUUUGAGAUGGAGUCUUGCUCUGUCACCCAGGCUGUAGUGCAGUAGCACAAUCUCGGCUCACUGCAACUUCUGCCUCCCGAGUUCAAGCAAUUCUCCUGCCUCAGCCUCCCAAGUAGCUGGGACUACAGGCACCCGCCACCACGCCUGGCUAAUUUUGUAUUUUUAGUAGAGACGGGGUUUCCCCAAGUUGGCCAGGCUGAUCUUGAACUCCUGACCUCAGGUGAUCUGCUCGCCUAGGCCUCCCAAAGUGCUGGGAUUACAGGCGUCAGCCGCUGCACCUGGCCAGACUUCUCUUCUUAUACACAAAUGAAAGGAGGAAUGUCACUCACUGGAGUACUUCACAUAUACUGGGGUCAAUGCAGUAGUGAAGGAGAAAUAAUUCCAACCUUCCCAGAACAGAUCUCCUUCUCUAUCUAGGAUCUAACCACAGUGCCUUUCCUAUGUUUCUCCAGCUAUCGAAGUCAUACCUUAAGGCCUUUGCAUGUGCCAUUGUCUCUCUUAGAAUAAUGACCUGCCCGCUUCCAUAUCUUACACGCCAUAGCUAGAUUCUUUUUAUACUUUAAGUCUCCUUCCCUGACUACUUUUUUUGAAACUUUGCCAGUUUCUAUUUAUCUUUAUUACAUCACCCUAUUCAUUCCCUUCCUAACUUUUAUAAUUUGUAAGUAUGUAUUAAUUUUCUUGUGUAAUUGGUUGUUUUACAUCUGUUUCCCAUAAAACAUUCUAUAAGAAUAGCAACCAUGUUUCCUUUUUCAUCACCAUAACACUUACAGGAUUAUCGGCACCUAGAAAGUAUUCCAUAAAUAUAUGUUGAAGGAAUGUUAAGGUAAGUAAAGAGCAGAUAAUGAGGGUUCCUAUUUAAAAGCAUGUCAAUGAUUAACCAAUAGAAGGAGGUAUUAUUUUGGGAUGGAAGAAUUUCCUGAAGUUUCUGAAAUCAUACCUCAUAGGUAGCAGCUUUCUCUAAGAUUGGUCCUGUGUGAUUUGAGGAAACAUAAUUGCCAAGAUUGCAUCGGUGGUUCAAACCUUCAAAUCUCAGUGGGAAGUUUAGUUUUUUUCUCAUGGUACAGACUGUUUGGCCACCAUCUUCUAUGUGGUGAUUUAGGGAUUCCAGUGCCUUUCUUUCUGCGUCUCUGCCGUUCUCUCAGGACACCCUGGGAUCCUUCCCUGGAUCCCCUCUAUGUGUCCAGCUAAUAGACAAAGAGAGAGCUGUGUACUGAUUACAUAAGAAGUUUCUAAGACCAAGUCUGGAAGUGGUAUGCAG
ensembl:lincRNA